AUUGAACGCUGGCGGCAGGCCUAACACAUGCAAGUCGAGCGAGCGGCGGACGGGUGAGUAAUGUCUGGGAAACUGCCUGAUGGAGGGGGAUAACUACUGGAAACGGUAGCUAAUACCGCAUACCAUCAGAUGUUCCCAGAUGGGAUUAGCUAGUAGGUGGGGUAACGGCUCACCUAGGCGACGAUCCCUAGCUGGUCUGAGAGGAUGACCAGCCACACUGGAACUGAGACACGGUCAAGACUCCUACGGUAGGCAGCAGUGGGGAAUAGUGCACAAUGGGCGCAAGCCGGAUGCAGCCAUGCGGCGUGUGGGAAGAAGGCCUUCGGGUUGUAAAGCAUUUUCAGCGAGGAGGCGUUACCCGCAGAAGAAGCACCGGCUAACUCCGUGCCAGCAGCCGCGGUAAUAC
rnacentral:rRNA from 1 species